rnacentral:ncRNA from 2 species
UCGAUGACUGAUCGCGCCGGUUCCCCGCAAGGGGAUUAAAAUGGGAAGGCGGUGCGGGUGGCAGUCCCUCGACAAGGGCGCUCAUCCAAAUCCGCAGCUGUCCCUGCAACUGUAAGCGGCGAGCGCGAUGCACAUCGCUCCCUUUCCAGGGGAGCAGCCACUGGGCCGGACGCUAAAUCCUGCGAGGCCUGGGAAGGCGUGCAUCAAGCAAUGACCCGCGAGCCAGGAGACCUGCCGGCGUCUGGUCGCUCUU